rnacentral:rRNA from 1 species
CCUACGGGAGGCAGCAGUGGGGAAUAUUGGGCAAUGGGCGCAAGCCUGACCCAGCAACGCCGCGUGAAGGAAGAAGGCUUUCGGGUUGUAAACUUCUUUUAAGCGGGAAGAGCAGUAGUCGGUACCUCUUGAAUAAGCCUCGGCUAACUACGUGCCAGCAGCCGCGGUAAUACGUAGGUGGCAAGCGUUGUCCGGAUUCACUGGGUGUAAAGGGCGUGUAGCCGGGCUGACAAGUCAGAUGUGAAAUUCCGGGGCGCAACCCCGGACCUGCAUUUGAAACUGUUGGUCUUGAGUAUCGGAGAGGCAGGCGGAAUUCCUAGGGUAGCGGUGAAAUGCGUAGAUAUUAGGAGGAACACCAGUGGCGAAGGCGGCCUGCUGGACGACAACUGACGGUGAGGCGCGAAAGCGUGGGGAGCAAACAGGAUUAGAUACCCUUGUAGUC